ensembl:lncRNA LINC02609 long intergenic non-protein coding RNA 2609
GGACGGUAGAGGCCUCCCUUCCGAGGAGGCGGUGCUGGGGCGGGCGCAGGACUGCAGGCUGGGGCUCCGCUCCCCGGCGGGAGCCCGCGCGUGGUUCCCAGCGAAGUCCCCGCGCGGCUGGGCCCAGCGUGAGUAUUCUCCGCCCGCUGUCCUCCCCCUGGAGGCGGCAGCGCCCGUUUAUUUGAGCCGUGUGAAGAUGUGCCUGCUUCGCCUUCCAUCAUGACUGAAGUUUCCUGAGGCCUCCCCAGCUAUGCUCCCUAUACAGCCUGCAGAACGGUCGGCUGCCUCCAAUCCUGAGGUCAUCACUCAUCAAGAGGGGAUAAUCCCAGGGACAGCAGGAUCUGCUUCGUUACUUGGAUUUAGGAGCCAGAAACCCAUCAGGCAACUAAACAGUAACAAUGACCCGCCAUUAAACACACUGAGAGAAGAGCAUGAUGAAGAGUUUGUACAAGAAGAAGCCAGGAGCACUUGCUGACAAUGCUUACAGAGACGCAGGCUUCUAUGAGCUCUGCCUGUUGAACUGCAGUAAAAAUAGAUCUCCUUCCCCAGAGAGGCUUGGAUGUGGGCACAAUAUCAGUUCAGACGAUGGUCAAUGCAUGUACUUAAUAGAGUGAAAAGACUUUGGACUGUGAAGUCAGAUUACCUGGGUCUGAAUUGUUAUUCUUCUACUUCUUUGUAGUAUGCUUUCACCACAUUAAAAAUUGUCUGAGCCUCAAUUUUUUUAUCUGCAAAAUGGAGCUAAUACCUACACAGGGGCUUUUAAGAGAAUCAAAUGCAACAAUGUUUGAAAAGCAACAUACUCCCCUUUAUGGAAAAAGAGCCUGUAAAGGAACCAAUACAAUGGCUGGGCGUGGUGACUCACACCUGUAAUCCUAGCACUUUGGGAGGCCGAGGUGGGUGGAUUGCCUGAGCUCAGGAGUUCGAGACCAGCCUGGGCAACAUGGUGAAACCCCGACUCUACUAAAAUACAAAAGAUUAUCCUGGCGUGGUGGUGUGCACCUGUUAUCUAAGCUACUUGGGAGGUUGAAGCAGGAGAAUUGCUGGAACCUGGGAGGCAGAGGUUGCAGUGAGCCAAGAUCACACCACUACACUCCAGCCUGAGUGACACAAGACUGUGUCUCAAAAAUAAAUAAAUGAAUAAGUAAAUAAAUACAAAAUAAAUAAAAUAAAGGAACCAAUACAACAAAGGCUGCUCUCAACAUUUUCCCUGCUCCUAGGCACUCAAUAUCAGAAUAUAGGCUUCUUUCUUUUGCUCAGAUACCAGGGAUAAGAAAUGAGAGAGAGAGAGACAGAGUAAUGUGGAAAGACAGGAAGCCAGAUUCUGGCUCUUAGAGGAAAAAAUUCACUCUAAAUAAUUUUCAGACAAUGUUACUCUCCUUUCUCAAACACUGGGGCCACAGGCAUUAUGCCAAAGGAGUCAGCAGCCUGGCAGAUAUUUUAAACUGAUUCUGAGACUGAACGACAGCCCAUUUGCACCAUAUGCCACUGACACGUUAAUCUAGGCAAGGAUGCUAGGCACCUGGGGAAAUCCAUGCUGAAAUGCCAUUUAGGCAGGACAUACCAACUCCAGUGGCAGAAGUUCAUCAAAACAAACAGGCAGGGUGGCCAAGAAGAUAGAAGUGGAAAGCAGGAGUGAAGGGGACAUGCAGUGUCCAAGGCACAAAAUGUGUUCUGAGUUGCAGACACUUCAUUGUGCUUCUAGGAGAGCUGCAGAUUCAGCAAGACAUUAAAACUGGGUAUUUGCAGUCUGGACAAACGAGUAUCUGCUACUUUUGCAUCAGUUAUUCUACAUGGCCUCAAACCCUGUGACCCUUCUAUCCAUUGGCAAAUACUGGGCGAUGCUCCAGUUCACCAGAAUGGCCUCCUUUAUCCCUGCAGUUUCACUGUAAAAAGCCCGAGCAAGCGGCUGCCGAGUGACUCUAGUAGUUGCUCCGGUGUCAGACUUUCCAGGAUCCAAUUUGGUGGGAGCACUCUGGGCCUUUGGUCUCCCUCUACUCUUUGCCAGGCCCUGUUUCUUGGUUACUCUGAGCAGUAAUGAGCUUCUCCACCCCAGCAUGAGGACAGGCUCACAGCCAGCACAUGAAAAGGGCUGUGCUCAUGUGUGGCAAACUACUCUAUUUCAUGGGCAGCUCACACGUCUGUUUUUUUUUUUCCUUCUUCUGUGAUGCAACUACACUAAUGAUUUUUUAAAGUAGGAAUAAGGCAGUACUAUGGCUUUCUGGGGGAAAAAAAGUCACACAGCAGGAAAACUGCAGCAGAUAUCAUCAAAGAAGCUCAGAAUAAAAUGCCCACCCAUUCUUGUUAUUGGCCCAAAUGAUUUUCCAGGAGCAAAAGGAUCAUUCUAACAGGCAUCUUAAUAAACAAAUAGAAUCAUUACCUUAGUUAUUUUCCUCCAGGCAAAUGAGGCUUAAAAAAUCAGCUCUUCCUGUUAAUGUUAGUUAUUUUUCAUAGUCAGAAGAAUCUGAAAGAUCAUAAAAAUAAGAUUAGGCCACCAAAGAAUGUGGAUAAGCAGUUCAGAGAUGUUAAGCGCGGGCUCUGGAAUCAGCUUUUGGUUCAGAUCUGGAGCUCUGUCCCUUACCCUCUGAUGACCAUUGGCAAUUUACUCAACCUCUACCCCCAGUCUCUGUUUCUUCAUACAGAAACUUGUAUGAAUAACUUAUACAGAAUAACCCCACCUGUACCUUGUAAAGAAUAACCUCACCUGCCAGGGUUGUUAAGAGGAUUAAAAGAGAAGGUAUGUGUGUAGCAAGGAGCACAUUUCCUAGCACAUGGUCUGGGUACUUAUGUUCAAAUGAUAGGCCUGAUCUUGGAAACCACAUGUCACUUAUGUGUUGUAAUGUAGACAGAUUGUUUCUAUGGAUUCUUCGCAAAGACUAAGUAGAUGUUCAAAUGAGAAAAUCACAGGCAUUUUCUGCGCAUUCACCACUACACACAUAGGGCUGUGCUGUGUAUUAGGAAAGAUUUAUAAGAAGUAGAAGAGUUAGUUUUUACUCAGGAGUAGCUUAAAGUCAACCCUGAAGAACAGUAAUACCACUCUUAAUUCAAGACCUGAUGUCCAGCAACCCCAUGCCUUUACCCUAUGCACCCAGAAACCCAUCUGAAAUGAGAUCUAAACACGCUACCACAGUAGUGGCCUAACUGAUCUCCCCGCACCCCUCCUUGACUUCAUAUAGCCAAUCCACAGAGCAGCAGAGGACUCUAUAUAAUGUAAAAUAAAUCAUAUCAUCUCAGAAUCCACUGAUGGCUCCCUACCUCACACAAAAUGGGACCCAAAGUCCUCAUUCUACCUGCAAAGCCCAUCAUGGUUUGAGCCCCGUUACCUUCCUGAUCACUUCUCUUCCUGCUUCCCUCCUUUGCUCGCCCCCUUCCAGCCACACUACCCUCCUCAAACACACCGAGCAUGCUCUCACUUCAGAACAUCUGGACUGCUACUUUCUCUCUCUGGAAUGCUCUUGUCCUAUGUACUCAUAUGGCUUGCUCCUUUACUUCAUUUAGGUUUCUGCUCAAAUGUCACCUAAUCGGAGAAAGCUUCCUUGACCAUUCUUUUUAAAUAGUCACCCAAUCCUGCUAUUCUCCGUCUCCCUACUCUGCUUUAUUUUUCUUCACAGAGCCUUCAAGACUUCAUAAAGGAAGGUUAAUGUAAUGAGGUCCAGUCCUCACUGCUACAACUGAUCUCAAUGCCAUAAUUAAUAUUUGUCACCUUCAUCUUCCACCCCUAUUCUAGUUUUGCCUCACCCUUUACCAACACCUCAGCUGGUCUAGGGUGCCUCCCAGCAACCUAGGAGUCAUCUAAGAGUGACUCAGACCUUCACCCACAAGGGGACUGGGUUGCGUUAGCCCCUGUGGGCUGAGGUUGCUGCAGUUGCCAAUUUACAGUUAUCAAUGGACUUUGGAGUUAUCACCAAGAGAUGCCCCAUUAAAUCGCUGGGUCCUAGACGUACUCCCUUCUGCCCUAUUGCCUCCAUUGUGUAAUAGCAACCCUAUUUCCUCAUAGGAAUCGGGGUCAAUUGCUUAACAAAUGUUUCACAAGUGGAUCAUUGAGAAUGAUGGUGAAAAGAACCAAUCUUAUUUCCACCAGUUGAUUCCUGGACCCAUAUAUUAUAGCUAGGAGAAAAUCACCACUGUUUGUUCUGUGCAUAUACUGCAUGUUGGAGUAUACAGUUCAACCCCAUAGGGUAUUAUGCCCAAGCUAGCACCUUAACUAGGCUCUUCCAUUAUUCUACUAGGCUGGCUGCCUCUAGGUGAAGAAGUACAUUGUAAGAUCAAUCAAUCCCAUGAUCAUGUGCCCAUUGUCACAACCCUCUUACCAUCAAAUGGAUCCCUUAGUCUGAGGCACAGUUGUGUGGAUUCCCAUUUCAGUAAAGAACACAUUCCGUAAGUCCUCAGGUAGCAGUGUCAGCAACAGCACUGACAUCAGGGAAGGCAAAGCCAUAUCCAACUAGGUGUCAAUUCUUAUAAUGGAAUUAGGUGUGAUGUCAUCAACUUGCCACCAAGUGCCUGGCUAGUAUCUCUGAGGAUGGUGCCUUAUCUAUGCCAGCCUGUCCUCUGGCAGGAAAAAUAUUCAGCAAUGGCAGGAGCUAUAUCAGCCCUGGUGAGAAGGACUUGAUACUGUUGUGUCCAUGCCUAGUCUCUACUCCUGUCACCAUGGCCAUGCCAUUAAUGAGCCAAUUGCAAAAGUACUGGAAUGGCCAUGGAGAGACACUGACAUCCAGAAGACAAAAGUCAUCCUGUCUACUUGGUUGUUGAUGCUCUAUUGAUUCACUAUGGUGGAUGCUCAUGGACAUUAACAUAGGAUUUAAAAAAUCCUCACCCUUUAUGCCUAUCCUCAUAGGUCCAUCCAUAUGCCUUGGCCCUAUACCUCCUUAUAGAGAAAGCUGAUAAAAGCAGACAUUAGAAAGCUAGUCAUUAUUGUAGGCCUCUGAAUGUGACUCAGAGUUUUCUGCCCAAAAGCCAGAAAGGGCAGCUCUACUCACCAGAUCCUAUCUUUAUUAGUCAAGGGUUGCCCCAGGGAAUGUUAAUUCUCUCAAAUGUCUAGAUUUGCAUUCUAGGUUUGCAUAUGUGUGAGUGCUCAGGAGAUUCUAGCAGACAUCUAUUCAGCUUAGAAAAACUCAGGCUAGAGAGUGGAACAGAUUCACAGUGCAGCUGAGACAAGAUCCUUAUCUGGUUAUACCUGGGCAUAGCUGCUUGCUGCAGCAAAAGUUGGAAAAAAAGGUGGGUUGAGAGGAUAUGAGAUGAAGCCUAAGAGGUGU